rnacentral:hammerhead_ribozyme from 1 species
AUCCAUCUGACGAGUCCCAAAUAGGACGAAACGCGCAU